CUAUGGUUUAUUGGAUCGUACCCGUUAAAUGGAUAACUGUAAUAACUCUAGAGCUAAUACAUGCCUCGAUGCUCUGACCCUGGUUGUUGCCUUGCGGCAGCGAGUGGGGGAUGGGUGCACUUAUUAGAUCAGAAGCCAACCAGUCCGCUGACUGCACGCGUGUGUGUGUGUGUGCUUGCAUGCAGGCAGGUAUGCAUGCGUGUGGACGUGUGUGUGGGCUGUGAGAGGAGACUUCUGGUGACUCUGGAUAAUUGUUACAGAUCGCAGUCGGCCUUGGGUCGGCGACGGGUCCUUCAAAUGUCUGCCCUAUCAACUGUCGAUGGUAGGUGACCUGCCUACCAUGGUGAUAACGGGUAACGGGGAAUCAGGGUUCGAUUCCGGAGAGGGAGCCUGAGAAACGGCUACCACUUCCAAGGGAGGCAGCAGGCGCGCAAAUUACCCACUCCCAGCACGGGGAGGUGGUGACGAAAAAUACCGAUGCGGGACUCCUUCAAGAGGCUCCGUAAUCGGAAUGAGUGGACUCUAAAUCCUUUCACGAGGAUCAAUUGGAGGGCAAGUCUGGUGCCAGCAGCCGCGGUAACUCCAGCUCCAAUAGCGUAUAUUAAAGUUGCUGCAGUUAAAAAGCUCGUAGCUGGAUCUCGGUGGCAUCGUUGCCUGUCGGUGGUUGAGCGGCUGGUGUGUGGCUAUUGGCGCGUCGCUCUGGCCGCCGUCGCCUCGGUGUGUGUGUGUGCGUGUGUGUGUGUGUAGGUGGGUGGGUGGGUGGGUGGAUGAAUGGAGCGUGGAGCGUCAGUCGACUGUCGGUUGGUGGUGCGGGUGAGUAGUUAGUGAGUGAGUGAGUGAGUAGGUGGGUGAAUGGGCACUGGUGUGCCUGGUUGCCUGCCUGCCUGCCUGCUUGCUUGCUUGCUCGCGCGCAUUGUUGACCGGUUGGGAGAUUUGUGCGUUUACCCGCUCGUUCGCUGGCUCGCCUGCCUGCUCGCUCGCUCGCUCGCUCGCUGGCUCACAUGCCGUGGUUUGGUUGUUGGAGUGGUGUCGACGUGGUCAUGAUGAAGCGCUGCCGUGUCAAGCCGACAAGGCGAUGGUGUCGCCUGUAAGCCAUGUCUGCGGUGUAGCAACUGCAGGUGUGGGCGAGUGGUGGAUGGUGCUGUACGCACACAUGUUGUGCAGCCUGUCAGCUCGUCUGCAUGCCUUUGGAUGCCCUUGAAAAGGUGUCUGCGGGCGGAUGGCACGUUUACUUUGAACAAAUUUGAGUGCUCAAGGCAGGCCGAUGUUGCCUGAAAAGUUUUGCAUGGAAUAAUGGAAUAGGACUUCGGUUCUAUUUCGUUGGUUUUCGGAUCCGAAGUAAUGAUCAAGAGAGACAGGCGGGGACGUUUGUAUGGCUGCGCUAGAGGUGAAAUUCAUGGACCGUAGCCAGACAAACUAAAGCGAAAGCAUUCGUCAAGCAUGUUUUCAUUGGCCAUGAGCGAAAGUCAGAGGCUCGAAGACGAUCAGAUACCGUCCUAGUUCUGACCAUAAACGAUGCCAACUGACGAUCCGUGGUGGUAGUGGUGUUACCUUCCCCACGGGCAGUCCCCGGGAAACCUUUAAGUGUUUGGGUUCCGGGGGAAGUAUGGUUGCAAAGCUGAAACUUAAAGGAAUUGACGGAAGGGCACCACCAGGAGUGGAGCCUGCGGCUUAAUUUGACUCAACACGGGAAAACUCACCCGGGCCGGACACUAUGAGGAUUGACAGAUUGAGAGCUCUUUCUUGAUUUGGUGGUUGGUGGUGCAUGGCCGUUCUUAGUUGGUGGAGCGAUUUGUCUGGUUAAUUCCGAUAACGAACGAGACUCCAGCCUGCUAAUUAGUGCAUUUGUCCACUGCACCUGUGACGGUGGCGUUGGACGAUACCGGCUGCCGCGAGGCAUGCGCUUUGGCGUUGUCACUGCUGGCGUCGUAUGCUGCGUGCAUGCGGUGCACGUGAGCGUUCUACUGCUCCUCCUGCUCCUGCUCCUCCUCCUCCUCCGUGUCGUAGUUGUCGUUGCUGCCAUUGUCGUCGUCGUCGGCGGCGGCGGAGGCGGCUGCAAUGAUUGCGCGAGGGUGGUUGGUGGGUGUGGGUGGGUGGGCGGUUGAGUGUGGCGAUGGCGGUGGGAGUGUGUGGAGCGCGAGCCUUGUGGCUGGUUAGGCCGGCGCUGGCCUGCGGGUGUGGCGCGAAUGCUGACUACUUCUUAGAGGGACAAGCGGGAGAAGCCGCACGAAAUAGAGCAAUAACAGGUCUGUGAUGCCCUUAGAUGUCCGGGGCCGCACGCGCGCUACAAUGACGGUGUCAGCGAGUCAGACCUUCUGGCCCGAGAGGGUUGGGCAAACUGGUCAAUCACCGUCGUGACAGGGAUCGGGGCUUGGAAUUGUUCCCCGUGAACGAGGAAUUCCUAGUAAGUGCAAGUCAUAAGCUUGCGCUGAUUACGUCCCUGCCCUUUGUACACACCGCCCGUCGCUACUACCGAUUGAAUGGUUUAGUAAGGUCCUUGGAUUGGCGUCAUCGCAGCUGCUGCAGUGGCUGCCCGAGAGGCGCCGAGAAGACGACCAAACUUGAUCAUUUAGA
rnacentral:rRNA from 1 species